GAGUUUGAUCAUGGCUCAGGAUGAACGCUGGCGGCGUGCUUAACACAUGCAAGUCGAACGAACCUUCGGGUUAGUGGCGGACGGGUGAGUAACGCGUGGGAAUCUGCCCUCAGGAGGGGGAUAACGGUUGGAAACGGCCGCUAAUACCCCAUAUGCCGAGAGGUGAAAUGAAUUUCGCCUGAGGAUGAGCCCGCGUCUGAUUAGCUUGUUGGUGAGGUAAUGGCUCACCAAGGCAUCGAUCAGUAGCUGGUCUGAGAGGAUGAUCAGCCACACUGGGACUGAGACACGGCCCAGACUCCUACGGGAGGCAGCAGUGGGGAAUUUUCCGCAAUGGGCGCAAGCCUGACGGAGCAACGCCGCGUGAGGGACGAAGGCCUCUGGGCUGUAAACCUCUUUUCUCAAGGAAGAAGAUAUGACGGUACUUGAGGAAUAAGCCACGGCUAAUUCCGUGCCAGCAGCCGCGGUAAUACGGGAGUGGCAAGCGUUAUCCGGAAUUAUUGGGCGUAAAGCGUCCGCAGGCGGCCUUUCAAGUCUGCUGCUAAAACGUGGAGCUUAACUCCAUCAUGGCAGUGGAAACUGAUUGGCUUGAGUAUGGUAGGGGCAGAGGGAAUUCCCGGUGUAGCGGUGAAAUGCGUAGAUAUCGGGAAGAACACCAGUGGCGAAGGCGCUCUGCUGGGCCAUUACUGACGCUCAUGGACGAAAGCCAGGGGAGCGAAAGGGAUUAGAUACCCCUGUAGUCCUGGCCGUAAACGAUGAACACUAGGUGUCGGGGGAAUCGACCCCUUCGGUGUCGUAGCUAACGCGUUAAGUGUUCCGCCUGGGGAGUACGCACGCAAGUGUGAAACUCAAAGGAAUUGACGGGGGCCCGCACAAGCGGUGGAGUAUGUGGUUUAAUUCGAUGCAACGCGAAGAACCUUACCAGGGCUUGACAUCCUGCGAACCUUUAAGAAAUUAGAGGGUGCCUUCGGGAACGCAGUGACAGGUGGUGCAUGGCUGUCGUCAGCUCGUGUCGUGAGAUGUUGGGUUAAGUCCCGCAACGAGCGCAACCCACGUUUUUAGUUGCCAGCAUUUAGUUGGGCACUCUAGAAAGACCGCCAGUGAUAAACCGGAGGAAGGUGUGGAUGACGUCAAGUCAUCAUGCCCCUUACGUCCUGGGCUACACACGUACUACAAUGCUACGGACAAAGGGCAGCAAACUCGCGAGAGCUAGCAAAUCCCAUAAACCGUGGCUCAGUACAGAUCGUAGGCUGCAACUCGCCUACGUGAAGUAGGAAUCGCUAGUAAUCGCAGGUCAGCAUACUGCGGUGAAUACGUUCCCGGGCCUUGUACACACCGCCCGUCACACCAUGGAAGUUGGCCACGCCCGAAGUCGUUACUUUAACCCUCGUGGAGAAGGACGCCGAAGGUGGGGCUGAUGACUGGGGUGAAGUCGUAACAAGGUAACC
rnacentral:rRNA from 1 species